UACCAGACUCCUACGGGAGGCAGCAGUGGGGAAUAUUGCACAAUGGGGGAAACUCUGAUGCAGCGACGCCGCGUGAGCGAUGAAGUAUUUCGGUAUGUAAAGCUCUAUCAGCAGGGAAGAAAAUGACGGUACCUGAAAAAGAAGCCCCGGCUAACUACGUGCCAGCAGCCGCGGUAAUACGUAGGGGGCAAGCGUUAUCCGGAUUUACUGGGUGUAAAGGGAGCGUAGACGGCGAUGCAAGUCUGAAGUGAAAGGCGGGGGCCCAACCCCCGGACUGCUUUGGAAACUGUAUGGCUGGAGUGCAGGAGAGGUAAGUGGAAUUCCUAGUGUAGCGGUGAAAUGCGUAGAUAUUAGGAGGAACACCAGUGGCGAAGGCGGCUUACUGGACUGUAACUGACGUUGAGGCUCGAAAGCGUGGGGAGCAAACAGGAUUAGAUACCCGCGUA
rnacentral:rRNA from 1 species